GCUGAGCACUCCUACGGGAGGCAGCAGUGGGGAAUAUUGCACAAUGGGCGCAAGCCUGAUGCAGCCAUGCCGCGUGUAUGGAAGAAGGCCUUCGGGUUGUAAAGUACUUUCAGCAGUGAGGAAGGUGGGUAUGUUAAUAGCAUAUUCAUUUGACGUUAGCUGCAGAAGAAGCACCGGCUAACUCCGUGCCAGCAGCCGCGGUAAUACGGAGGGUGCGAGCGUUAAUCGGAAUUACUGGGCGUAAAGCGCAUGCAGGUGGUUUGUUAAGUCAGAUGUGAAAGCCCGGGGCUCAACCUCGGAAUUGCAUUUGAAACUGGCAAACUAGAGUACUGUAGAGGGGGUAGAAUUUCAGGUGUAGCGGUGAAAUGCGUAGAGAUCUGAAGGAAUACCGGUGGCGAAGGCGGCCCCCUGGACAGAUACUGACACUCAGAUGCGAAAGCGUGGGGAGCAAACAGGAUUAGAUACCCUGGUAG
rnacentral:rRNA from 1 species